AUGAAACAGGGGGGAGGCAUUAAUACAGUCAAGGCAGUGCUACAUUAGGCCAACCUGUGCUUGAAUACCAACUUGACUUAUUAUCUAACUAUGUGAAUGUCUGCAGAGAGGAAGGAAAGAAGCACAUGAUAGAUUUUUAACCAUCAUUCAAAUGAUAUCUAUGAAUAUUAAAUUUUAGCAGUCAGUGGUGAUGUUCAGAAAAUACAAACUAUCAACUGAGAUUGAUUCUACAAUCAAUAGAAACUUUAGAAUUUCCCAUUUCAUGUGUAAAAGCCAAACGAAGCACACACACACAAAGCCAUUCUUAAACCAACAAGAUUUUUAGUUGUCAGAUAUGCGAUGUUCCAAUGAUGACAGGGGAAAAGCAUGCACACUGGCUCUUUGUUGGUGGAGGGUUUUUACCAAUAGAUUUUUAUUUAUAUCUGGAGCGGUUUUAUUUUUGUUCUAGUAACAAAUCAUAAAGCUUGUUAGCUUUCCUGACAUUAGUUUAGUUUUCCUAACCCAAAUUACAUUUUAGAUUAGAAAAAUAGCAAUUACUGUAAGAAUUUAUCUCAAAAUUUGUGUAGCAGAAAAUUACUCAUAGAGUGAGCUGUCUUCUAAAAGUAAAUGAAAAUAUGCAGUAAAACUGCAUGGAUGAUCAAAUUCAGUUCUAGUUCCUCGUAAAAAAAAAAAAUCUGCAUGUUGGACAAAAAUACGAAAAACUCAAUAAAGGCUUUAAUUAGCAAUCUAUGUCACAAGAAUGUUUGUUCAGUCUUGACAGAAGUCUAAGAACUGAGCAGAUUUAAAAAAUAUUUUCUCAAAUACUUUCCAAGAAGCAGCAGACAUUCAGAUCACUUAAUCAAUGUGACAAUCUAUGGCAUCCAUAAAUCCAGCUCAUAACGGCCACCAUCUGUUUUGAGGGAGAUUUGUGGAGCCUGGUACACUCACUGAUGGUUUCGUGUUGGUUACACUGAAGGGUGAACGAUAAAGGCGUAUUCACACUGCAUCGCAAAGGCUUUUGCUCCAACCAAGCAUUCACCAGGAGGCCCAGAUCCUUCCCUGACCAUGAGGACACAUUCACUCUUGAACCAUGUGAUGGGUGCACGUUAAUAACCUGCAGGUCAAGUUCACUCGAGAAGCCCUUUACAUGUUUGCAUUCAGAGGGCCGUGUGGAUAAUUGUCUGAAUAUUUUAUAACGACUCUUUCCUCACUUGAGUGUGAACAAACCAGCCCAUGAAAAUGACAGCCUUGGAAAGGCACAGUAGCCUGACCUAGGACGUGACUUUGGACCAGAUUUCUUGCUCUGAAGCUGAAUAACUGGGUUAGGAGCUAGAUCAUUUUAUUACCCAGAGUCCAGAUUCAAACGUGUUGGCCUGAAUUGUUUGCCUAUUCUCUAAACUCUUGGAGAUUAUUUACUUAACCACGUUCUCACUUUAUUUGUGUGUGUGUUUUAAAGCAACGAUUCUGAUCCUUAUAAAGAAAAAAGGAGGGAGAGUGGCUGUGAUGAGUGGGCUGCGGUUCUGUCAGGCUGAGACCAGCUCUAUUUCCACACAAACAUAUGGGAACUACUCCUCUGUGAAUAGCCGAAAGAGCUGUUUCGAAACUUCACCAGGGACUAGAGUUUGUCCUUGCACCAAAAAUAGACGUGUGGGCUAGUUCCUUCUGCUCAUCAUGAAUAGUUAUGAGCCAGGCAGCCCGGGCUGCUCUGCUGAACAGCUAAGAACCCCGUGCAGCCAGACUUAACAACCAGGGCGCUGCUGUCCGAGGGACUCAGGAAGCCAGCGAAGGCACGGCUGGGCUCCGCUGUGAUGGGCACAAAGACUCAGAACGUGAUUAAACGUUGUUCACGGGGACAAUAGAAGCUGGAGGUGACUUGCUUGGGUGAGAAGGAUGAGCGUCCAGGACCAUGAAGCCCAGCGAUGGGCAACGGCACCAUGUGGAGGACCCCCGGAGGCUCCAGGCAGUCUGGGUUUGUCUUGCAGAUGUUUUGUCAGAUUUGCUCAACACAAGCGCACAUGUGUCUGGCUGCCUCCUAUGCAACGACUAGCAAGCACGCACCUGCACCGGAGCAUGGACUAAAGGCCUUUCACAGAGACGCUCACAGUCUUCUCACCAGGUUUUAUCUGGUGAGAUGCGACGAGACACACGAAGGAGACAUCCGACAGACCCUGGGCGUCUCUGAGCUCGACUCCGAGCUCCAGGUUCCUGCUCCCGGCUAUCUGACGCCUUCACUGGAGGCUUAAAAAGCAUCCCCGAUUCGACGUGGCCCACACGAGUCUUUUCAUUCUGAUCAGCAUCUCCCUCCUCUGCCCUACAAAUAAAGUCCACAGCCUGCAUCUAUCUUCCCAGUUUUGGCAAAUGGCACCAAUGUUUAUCUAACUGCUUACACCAAGCAUUUCGGAGUUAUUCCUGAUUCCCUCGUAUCUGUCACCAGCAAUUCAUCCUGUUUAAAAACACAGUAGGGCCAAAGGUGUCUGUGGGAAAUGUAACCCAUGGUCAAUGGCAUCUGACUUCCCCCCAGCAGGUCUUGGAGGAUACUGGUGAUUCAGGAGGUGGCUCUUUGUGAAUAACAAAAGGACUAAUUUUAUAUACAAAGGCGGGGGAGGAAGUUAAAGCCAACUGUGGCCGGGUAGGGAGGGGAGACCCCACAGCCCUUCCUUCUCAUCUUCUACAUCAGCCAUCCUCAAAUGACAACGUCAGGGCCACCAUUAGGGUCCCCGGCAUUUUUCUCCUCUGGUUCCUAGACUCUGAUUCUCCUCGCCUUACUCUUGGCUGAAUUGUUACAAUGUAAAAUGCAAAUACCGGGGUGUCCUGCACAGUCGUGAACUUGCACCUCUUUAGUCAACCACCUUGGCCGUUCAUCCUCUCAACAGUCAGGCAUGGGGCAGCUACAGUGCUGGGCACUCCUGCCACGGGGGUGAAAUCGGCUGUGACCUCCAAGACCAGACUGAGUGGGUAUCCGCAGCCGAGUGGGAGGGGGCUCUGGUGGAGGGGUGCUGAAGGAGCAGUGGGAGCUGAGGGCAAUGCGAGUCUUUCCUGAUCAGCCCACGGGUUUUGAAGCACACAACCCAUUUCCCGGUGUGGAUUUCUUCUCACCGGUUGUUCGGAAGAAGGUUUGACCUCCAGGUGGGGUAUUUCGGUGGCUGCAAAACCCAAGCUACUUCCUUAUAAGGCGCCUCUUUAUUCUCAGGUUAAUAGGAAACAUUCUGUUGGCUGAAUCCAGCCAAAGAGAACGCUACCUCCAGUGCGCAUAAAAGCAUAUUACUUGGUAUCUGUGUCUGCAAUGAGGCAUGACAUGGAUAUUUAGGUUCAAAGAGUGAGAAUUAUGUCACAUCGAGAAUGGGUUGUCAAUUUCAGACCGUCAUUAAAAAAAAAAAGAAAUCCUCAAA